GCUUAUGGCCACACCACCCUGAACACGCCCGAUCUCGUCUGAUGUCGGAAGAUAAAUGUUUUCUGUUUGGUGCUAGAAGCU
rnacentral:rRNA from 1 species